UAUGUGAUCGUCUCUCGCAUAUCAAUAAGCGGAGGAAAAGAAACUAACAAGGAUUCCCCUAGUAACGGCGAGUGAAGCGAGAAGAGCUCAAAUUUGAAAUCUUAAAGGGUUUCCCUUUACGAAUUGUAGUUUAAAGAAGUAUUUUCUGUUGAGGUUUUGGUAAAAGUUCUUUGGAAUAGGACAUCAUAGAGGGUGAGAAUCCCGUAUUUGACCUUUACUUUCAGCUUUGUGAUACACUUUCAAAGAGUCGGAUUGUUUGGGAAUGCAGUCCAAAAUGGGUGGUAAAUUUCAUCUAAAGCUAAAUAUUGGCGAGAGACCGAUAGCGAACAAGUACCGUGAGGGAAAGAUGAAAAGAACUUUGAAAAGAGAGUUAAACAGUACGUGAAAUUGUCAAAAGGGAAGCGUUUGACACCAGUGUUGUUUUUCUGAAAAUCAAUUAAAGAACUGUUUAUGCUAAGUUGUUUAGACUUUAUCAGCUAACUGUUUAGUUUUGAGCUUUUCUUUAAUGCACUUUUCAGUUAACAAGUCAACAUCAAUUUCUUUUGCUGUAAAAAAGCUUGAGGAAGGUGGCUUGAGAUUCGUCUUAAGUGUUUAUAGCCUCUUGCCUAUGCAGUCGGAGAGAUUGAGGUCUGCAGCGUAGAUCCUUCGGGGCUAAAUGCAUUUGUGCUAAGCUAUAGCAUUUUAUAGACAACUUGUUGACUAUGAUUUGUCUUGUAGCUUACUCGCUUAUGUUAUUUUACCUACGCUUAGGAUGUUGAGUCAUCACACAUCUCU
rnacentral:rRNA from 1 species